UAAAAGUGAGAUGAUACAGGACAGAGGAUAAAAUUAAAAACAAAGACAGUGAAUAGGUUAAAGUAGACAUAGAAAGAAAAAGUAAAAAGCAACAGGGUACACAAUAGUGAGGAAA